CAGCCCUGCCCUUCUCAGGAUACUUCGCUCCGUGCGGGUUGUUUUCGCUUGGUUUUAUUGUUUCCCUGCUUCCCGUUUUGGGCACGUCGAGUGCCAUCAGGUCCCGGUCCUUCGCCCCUUUGCAGCUCUUUAACUAGUACCAUCAGGUCCAGGUGUUUAGCCCGUUUUCAGCUCUUUAGUACCGUCAGGUCCAGGUCCUUUGCACGUUUGAAGCUCUUUAACUAAUACCAUCAGGUCCCGGUCCUUUGCCCGUUUGCAGCUCUGUAACUAGUGCCUCCAGGUCCUGGUGUUUGCCCGUUUGCAGCUCUUUAACUAGUACUAUCAGGUCCUGGUGUUUUGCCCAUUUACAGCUCUGUAACUAGUGCCUCCAGGUCCUGGUGUUUUGCCCGUUUGCAGCUCUUUAACUAGUGCCAUCAGGUCCUGGUGUUUUGCCCGUUUGCAGCUCUGUAACUAGUGCCUCCAGGUCCUGGUGUUUUGCCCGUUUACAGCUCUUUAACUAGUACCAUCAGGUCCUGGUGUUUUGCCCGUUUACAGCUCUUUAACUAGUACCAUCAGGUCCUGGUGUUUUGCCCGUUUACAGCUCUUUAACUAGUACCAUCAGGUCCUGGUGUUUUCCCCGUUUGCAGCUCUUUAACUAGUACUAUCAGGUCCAGGUCCUUCGCCCCUUUGCAGCUCUUUAACUAGUACCAUCAGGUCCUGGUGUUUUGCCCGUUUGCAGCUCUUUAACUAGUGCCAUCAGGUCCUGGUGUUUUGCCCGUUUGCAGCUCUUUAAUUAGAAAAGCCAUCAGGUCCAGGUCCUUUGCCCGUUUGCAGCUCUUUAACUAGUACCAUCAGGUCCAGGUGUUUAGCCCGUUUUCAGCUCUUUAGUACCGUCAGGUCCAGGUCCUUUGCACGUUUGAAGCUCUUUAACUAAUACCAUCAGGUCCCGGUCCUUUGCCCAUUUACAACUCUUUAACUAGUACCAUCAUGUCCUGGUGUUUUGCCCAUUUACAGCUCUGUAACUAGUGCCAUCAGGUCCAGGUCCUUCGCCUGUUUGCAGCUCUUUAACUAGUGCCAUCAGGUCCUGGUGUUUUGCCCGUUUGCAGCUCUUUAACUAGUGCCAUCAGGUCCAGGUCCUUUGCCCGUUUGCAGCUCUUUAAUUAGAAAAGCCAUCAGGUCCCGGUCCUUCGCCUGUUUGCAGCUCUUUAACUAGUCCCAUCAGGUCCAGGUGUUUAGCCCGUUUUCAGCUCUUUAGUACCGUCAGGUCCAGGUCCUUUGCACGUUUGAAGCUCUUUAACUAGUACCAUCAGGUCCUGGUGUUUUGCCCGUUUGCAGCUCUUUAACUAGUACCAUCAGGUCCAGGUGUUUAGCCCGUUUUCAGCUCUUUAGUACCGUCAGGUCCAGGUCCUUUGCACGUUUGAAGCUCUUUAACUAAUACCAUCAGGUCCCGGUCCUUUGCCCAUUUACAACUCUUUAACUAGUCCCUCCAGGUCCUGGUGUUUUGCCCAUUUGCAGCUCUUUAACUAUUACUAUCAGGUCCUGGUGUUUUGCCCGUUUGCAGCUCUUUAACUAGUACUAUCAGGUCCUGGUGUUUUGCCCGUUUACAGCUCUUUAACUAGUACCAUCAGGUCCAGGUGUUUAGCCCGUUUUCAGCUCUUUAGUACCGUCAGGUCCAGGUCCUUUGCACGUUUGAAGCUCUUUAACUAAUACCAUCAGGUCCCGGUCCUUUGCCCAUUUACAACUCUUUAACUAGUACCAUCAUGUCCUGGUGUUUUGCCCAUUUACAGCUCUGUAACUAGUGCCAUCAGGUCCUGGUCCUUUGCCCCUUUGCAGCUCUUUAACUAGUACCAUCUGGUCCAGGUCCUUCGCCUGUUUGCAGCUCUUUAACUAGUGCCAUCAGGUCCUGGUGUUUUGCCCAUUUACAGCUCUUUAACUAGUGCCACCAGGUCCUGGUCCUUUGCCCCUUUGCAGCUCUUUAACUAGCACCAUCCGGUCCAGGUCCUUCGCCCGUUUGCAGCUCUUUAACUAGUGCCAUCAGGUCCUGGUGUUUUGCCCAUUUACAGCUCUUUAACUAGUGCCACCAGGUCCUGGUGUUUUGCCCGUUUACAGCUCUUUAACUAGUGCCAUCAGGUCCUGGUGUUUUGCCCGUUUACAGCUCUUUAACUAGUACCAUCAGGUCCUGGUGUUUUGCCCCUUUGCAGCUCUUUAACUAAUACCAUCAGGUACAGGUGUUUUGCCCGUUUGCAGCUCUUUAACUAAUACCAUCAGGUCCCGGUCCUUCGCCCAUUUGCAGCUCUUUAACUAGUGCCAUCAGGUCCUGGUGUUUUGCCCGUUUACAGCUCUUUAACUAGUACCAUCAGGUCCUGGUGUUUUGCCCCUUUGCAGCUCUUUAACUAGUACCCUCAGGUACAGGUGUUUUGCCCGUUUGCAGCUCUUUAACUAAUACCAUCAGGUCCCGGUCCUUCGCCCAUUUGCAGCUCUUUAACUAGUGCCUCCAGGUCCUGGUGUUUUGCCCGUUUGCAGCUCUUUAACUAGUACUAUCAGGUCCUGGUGUUUUGCCCGUUUGCAGCUCUUUAACUAGUACUAUCAGGUCCUGGUGUUUUGCCCGUUUGCAGCUCUUUAACUAGUACUAUCAGGUCCUGGUGCUUUGCCCAUUUGAAGCUCUGUAACUAGUACCAUCAGGUCCUGGUGUUUUGCCCAUUUGAAGCUCUGUAACUAGUACUAUCAGGUCCUGGUGUUUUGCCCGUUUGUAGUUCUUUAACUAGUGCCAGCAGGUCCUGAUGUUUUGCCCCUUUGCCGCUCUUUAACUAGUGUCAUCAGGUCCUGGUGUUUUGCCCGUUUGCAGCUCUUUAACUAGUGCCAUCAGGUCCUGGUGUUUUGCCCGUUUGCAGCUCUUUAACUAAUACCAUCAGGUACAGGUGUUUUGCCCGUUUACAGCUCUUUAACUAGUACUAUCAGGUCCUGGUGUUUUGCCCGUUUACAGCUCUUUAACUAGUGCCAUCAGGUCCUGGUGUUUUGCCCGUUUACAGCUCUUUAACUAGUGCCUCCAGGUCCUGGUGUUUUGCCCGUUUGCAGCUCUUUAACUAGUGCCUCCAGGUCCUGGUGUUUUGCCCGUUUGCAGCUCUUUAACUAGUACCAUCAGGUCCUGGUGUUUUGCCCAUUUGAAGCUCUGUAACUAGUACUAUCAGGUCCUGGUGUUUUGCCCGUUUGUAGUUCUUUAGUGCCAGCAGGUCCUGAUGUUUUGCCCCUUUGCAGCUCUUUAACUAGUGUCAUCAGGUCCUGGUGUUUUGCCCGUUUACAGCUCUUUAACUAGUGUCAUCAGGUCCUGGUGUUUUGCCCCUUUGCAGCUCUUUAACUAGUGUCAUCAGGUCCUGGUGUUUUGCCCGUUUGCAGCUCUUUAACUAGUGCCAUCAGGUCCUGGUGUUUUGCCCGUUUGCAGCUCUUUAACUAUUGCCUCCAGGUCCUGGUGUUUUGCCCAUUUGCAGCUCUUUAACUAGUACUAUCAGGUCCUGGUGUUUUGCCCGUUUGCAGCUCUUUAACUAGUACUAUCAGGUCCUGGUGUUUUGCCCGUUUGCAGCUCUUUAACUAGUACUAUCAGGUCCUGGUGCUUUGCCCAUUUGAAGCUCUGUAACUAGUACCAUCAGGUCCUGGUGUUUUGCCCAUUUGAAGCUCUGUAACUAGUACUAUCAGGUCCUGAUGUUUUGCCCGUUUGUAGUUCUUUAACUAGUGUCAUCAGGUCCUGGUGUUUUGCCCGUUUACAGCUCUUUAACUAGUGCCAUCAGGUCCUGGUGUUUUGCCCGUUUACAGCUCUUUAACUAGUGCCUCCAGGUCCUGGUGUUUUGCCCGUUUGCAGCUCUUUAACUAGUACCAUCAGGUCCUGGUGUUUUGCCCAUUUGAAGCCCUGUAACUAGUACUAUCAGGUCCUGGUGUUUUGCCCGUUUGCAGCUCUUUAACUAGUACCAUCAGGUCCUGGUGUUUUGCCCAUUUGAAGCUCUGUAACUAGUACUAUCAGGUCCUGGUGUUUUGCCCGUUUGCAGCUCUUUAACUAGUACCAUCAGGUCCUGGUGUUUUGCCCAUUUGAAGCUCUGUAACUAGUACUAUCAGGUCCUGGUGUUUUGCCCGUUUGCAGCUCUUUAACUAGUGCCUCCAGGUCCUGGUGUUUUGCCCGUUUGCAGCUCUUUAACUAGUACCAUCAGGUCCUGGUGUUUUGCCCAUUUGAAGCUCUGUAACUAGUACUAUCAGGUCCUGGUGUUUUGCCCGUUUGUAGUUCUUUAACUAGUGCCAGCAGGUCCUGAUGUUUUGCCCCUUUGCAGCUCUUUAACUAGUGUCAUCAGGUCCUGGUGUUUUGCCCGUUUACAGCUCUUUAACUAGUGCCAUCAGGUCCUGGUGUUUUGCCCGUUUACAGCUCUUUAACUAGUGCCUCCAGGUCCUGGUGUUUUGCCCGUUUGCAGCUCUUUAACUAGUACUAUCAGGUCCUGGUGUUUUGCCCGUUUGCAGCUCUUUAACUAGUACUAUCAGGUCCUGGUGUUUUGCCCGUUUGCAGCUCUUUAACUAGUACUAUCAGGUCCUGGUGUUUUGCCCGUUUGCAGCUCUUUAACUAGUGCCAUCAGGUCCUGGUGUUUUGCCCGUUUGCAGCUCUUUAACUAGUACUAUCAGGUCCUGGUGUUUUGCCCGUUUUCAGCUCUUUAACUAGUGUCAUCAGGUCCUGGUGUUUUGCCCGUUUACAGCUCUUUAACUAGUACUAUCAGGUCCUGGUGUUUUGCCCGUUUUCAGCUCUUUAACUAGUGCCAUCAGGUCCUGGUGUUUUGCCCGUUUGCAGCUCUUUAACUAGUGCCAUCAGGUCCUGGUGUUUUGCCCGUUUGCAGCUCUUUAACUAGUACUAUCAGGUCCUGGUGUUUUGCCCGUUUUCAGCUCUUUAACUAGUGUCAUCAGGUCCUGGUGUUUUGCCCGUUUACAGCUCUUUAACUAGUGCCACCAGGUCCUGGUGUUUUGCCCGUUUUCAGCUCUUUAACUAGUGUCAUCAGGUCCUGGUGUUUUGCCCGUUUGCAGCUCUUUAACUAGUGCCACCAGGUCCUGGUGUUUUGCCCGUUUGCAGCUCUUUAACUAGUGCCACCAGGUCCUGGUGUUUUGCCCGUUUACAGCUCUUUAACUAGUACCAUCAGGUCCCGGUCCUUUUAACUAGUACCAUCAGGUCCAGGUCCUUUGCCCGUUCGCAGCUUUUUAACUAGUACCAUCAGGUCCAGUUCCUUUGCCCAUUUGUAGCUCUUUAAAUAGUACCAUCAGGUCCUGGUCCUUUUAACUAGUACCAACAGGUCCAGGUCCUUCGCCCAUUUGCAGCUUUUUAACUAGUACCAUCAGGUCCAGGUCCUUUGCACAUUUGCAGCUCUUUAACUAGUACCAUCCGGUCCAGGUCCGUUGCCUGUUUGCAGCUUUUUAACUAGUGCCAUCAGGUCCCAGUCCUUCACCCAUUUGCAGCACUUUAACUAGUACUAUCAGGUCCAGGUCCUUUGCCCUUUCGCAGCUCUUUAACUAGUACCAUCAGGUCCAGGUCCUUUGCCCAUUUGCAGCUCUGUAACUAGUACCAUCAGGUUCCGGUCCUUUGCCCGUUUGCAGCUCUUUAACUAGUACCAUCAGGUCCAGGUCUAUUGCCCUUUUGCAGCUCUUUAACUACAAGAGCCACCAGGUCCAGGUCCUUUACCCGUUUGCAGCUCUUUAACUAGUACCAUCAGGUCCAGGUCCCUUGCCCUUUUGCAGCUCUUUAACUACGACGUUUUACUGGGAAACUGUCCUAAUUGGAUUCCCUUUGUUUACACAGGCGUAGCUUUGGUUUGUUGCUCAGUGGAGACGUAUCCCAACAACCCUGUUAAGUAGGGAGCGUGUGCGAUUGGCCGUAUAGUGAGAAUUUUUUUUUUUUCGGGCUCCAAGAGAUCCUACUCCAAGUUGUCUGUGGCGCCAUUGCAAACAUGGAAAGGCCUCGUUUUGGCGUGUGAUGUCUGUCAUUUCCGUCAGUAGCCCCGUGUUCCUUCUAUUAACUCUGCGAAGGGACGGCUCUAUGUUCGAAUCCAAGCUGGCCGACAGUUAACUUUGUUGGCGUGAUUUUCCCACCAACCCUCCCCAAAAUCUCCUGCCCUGCCAAUUCAGAAGAAAAGUAACUUUUCCCAAUUUCCGAUGGUGCGAGUGAGUGGCUGCUUAGAAUAGCCGGUCUGGUCAAGCUGAUGCUCAGAAUAUUACUAUUCUUUCAACUUAAAAGAGUAUAUAACUCUUAUAACUAAUUCUCCGCUCUGAAUCCCUUGAGGAGAUAGGGCAGUAUAUAAAUAAAGUUGUUGUUAUUAUUAUUAUUAUUAUUAUUAUUAUUAUAAGUGACCUGCCUCGAGCCGCCAGGAGAGGUGGGUAAGAAAUAAAAUUAUUAUUAUUUUUAUUUGAUGGAGUCCAGGGCCCAUCAUGGGUAGUUGUCCGGGAUCAUCGACUGACUGCCUGGGCAUGAUGGGAGGCGUCGGCCAUCUUGUUCAACUCCUUAGAUAGGAUUUCUAUAGAUUUGGAAGUGCAAGAGUUUAAAUUCUCUGCUUCCUUGUUUUGUUUUUUUCCGAGAACCCCUUCUUUUCUCGCAAAGUGACCCUCGGGAUGAUAUAGUUUCCCUCCCGCUAUUUUUGUUUUCAGUCUGGAUGUCGUCUUUUUCUCUCUCUUCUCUUUUCUCGUGUAACGU